AGGAUGAGCUGCACUAAGCCAGGCAAAGAGGGGUUACGGUGAGUUCUUCCAGGCAAAGAGGACUUUGCCUGGAAGUCCUCUUUGAGCAAAGACAUGGAGUCCACAUGAGCAAAGACAUGGAGGAGAAAAACGGCAUGGCACGAAGGGAACUGCAGAUCCCCUCUCUACAGAGGAAGAGGCUGAGGCUCAGGGAGGUGCAGUGACUUGCUUCAGAGACACAGGAAUCAUGCCAGGAAUCGUCGGGCCUCCGUUUUUUCUCAGAGAAGAAAGAUUGUUUCUGUUUCCUCCUCCGUCAUGCUGGGCUUGUCAACCAGCCAGUCACCGGCCCUCCCUGAGGAAGCGCAGCACAGUCACCAGCCAGGAGAACAGAUUCACCUGCCCCGGGACGUCAGCGCUGCCCACACACGGUGCCGCCCACGCACUGUGACACACACUCACACUUG
rnacentral:lncRNA from 1 species